rnacentral:lncRNA from 1 species
GGCCUGAGAAUUUGUGUUUCUAAUAUUCCCAGGUGAUACUGACACCAUUGGUUUGGGGACCACACUUUGAAAUCAGAGAAUCUCCCCAGCUGUAGGGAGUGCUGCUGAUCGACAGUGCACAGCUGAGCCCCUCACCAGGAACGGCCCUUAGCUGAAGAGAGCCACCGCGCCCAAGGUCGUGCACCCAUCCCAGGUGGCAGCCUGCAUCCGUGACGGCAAGACCCAGGGUUUCACAACUGGCGCCCAUGCUGUGCCCACUGACACGCCCUGUUCACUGGAGUCCUCCCUCACCAUGUGCCAGCAGCUGCUGCAGCCCUGUUUGGUGGUGAAAGGAAGGGUAGAAGGUAUCCUCUCCAUUUACAGACCACCUGAUUUCUCCUGCAACUGCAGUUUCCAGCAUUCUGACAGUCUUCCAUCUCAAGUAGCUUGUCUCUCUUCUCUGCCUGAGGCUUUCUUAGGCAGUGGAAGCUUGCUCUGCCUGAGCCAGGUGCAACCCGGAAGUGCAGGAUAGUAAAGAUCAUUGGCGCUGACCUUCAACCAAUGGGGAUGGAAUAAAUAUCACAGACUUCUCCUCCGAUGGGAUGAUUCUGAGGCAUGGUCCACAUGGUUUAUCAGAGAGUCUCCUGCAAGACUGAGUCCCAGCUGCCCACAGGAUAACUUGCUCGUUAACAUACUUGUUAGUAGCUUUUCUCCCUUCUUUGUCUCACUUUCCCCAUUUUCUUCUUGUGCUCCUGAGAUCACCUCCUAAAUAAACC